AACGCACCUUGCACUCUUUGGUAUUCCGAAGAGUAUGUCUGUUUGAGUGUCAUGAAACUCUCAACCCCCUUGUUUUGUAAUGAAACGAGUGUGGGCUUGGAUUAUGGCUGCUGCCGGCGUAAUUGUCGACUCGGCUGAAAUACACGAGCUACCCAUUUCUAAGAAAUAGACGGUUUGACUCGGCGUAAUAACAUAUUUCGCUGAGGACGUCACAUUCUUUAAACAUUAGUGGUGCUUCUAAUGCGACAUCUAAACCUAAGCUUUAGACCUCAAAUCAGUCAGGACUACCCGCUGAACUUAA
rnacentral:misc_RNA from 1 species